ACGCAAGUGUGAAACUUGAAGGAAUUGACGGAAGGGCACCACAAGAACGCGUGGAGCAUGUGGCUUAAUUUGACUCAACGCGGGAAAUCUUACCGGGUCCGGACACACUGAGGAUUGACAGGUAUUAUUAAAAUAUUAUUUUCGGAUAAUAUUUUAUGUUAAAUAUGCUAGUCCUUUCAUGAUUAUGUGAUAGGUGGUGCAUGGCCGUUCUUAGUUCGUGGAGUGAUCUGUCUGCUUAAUUGCGUUUCACUAAGGGCUUAUAAAUUACGUGUGUUGUAGGUACUUUGACCCCUACGUUGAAAUAUACGUGGUGCGUGUCUUAGUUUGCUUUUACUCACACAAUUAAGUCCUGAAAGCAACGAACGUGACCG
rnacentral:rRNA from 1 species